rnacentral:rRNA from 1 species
AAGUCGAGCGGACAGAUGGGAGCUUGCUCCCUGAUGUUAGCGGCGGACGGGUGAGUAACACGUGGGUAACCUGCCUGUAAGACUGGGAUAACUCCGGGAAACCGGGGCUAAUACCGGAUGGUUGUUUGAACCGCAUGGUUCAGACAUAAAAGGUGGCUUCGGCUACCACUUACAGAUGGACCCGCGGCGCAUUAGCUAGUUGGUGAGGUAACGGCUCACCAAGGCGACGAUGCGUAGCCGACCUGAGAGGGUGAUCGGCCACACUGGGACUGAGACACGGCCCAGACUCCUACGGGAGGCAGCAGUAGGGAAUCUUCCGCAAUGGACGAAAGUCUGACGGAGCAACGCCGCGUGAGUGAUGAAGGUUUUCGGAUCGUAAAGCUCUGUUGUUAGGGAAGAACAAGUGCCGUUCAAAUAGGGCGGCACCUUGACGGUACCUAACCAGAAAGCCACGGCUAACUACGUGCCAGCAGCCGCGGUAAUACGUAGGUGGCAAGCGUUGUCCGGAAUUAUUGGGCGUAAAGGGCUCGCAGGCGGUUUCUUAAGUCUGAUGUGAAAGCCCCCGGCUCAACCGGGGAGGGUCAUUGGAAACUGGGGAACUUGAGUGCAGAAGAGGAGAGUGGAAUUCCACGUGUAGCGGUGAAAUGCGUAGAGAAUGUGGAGGAACACCAGUGGCGAAGGCGACUCUCUGGUCUGUAACUGACGCUGAGGAGCGAAAGCGUGGGGAGCGAACAGGAUUAGAUACCCCUGGUAGUCCACGCCGUAAACGAUGAGUGCUAGUGGGUUAGGGGGUUUCCGCCCCUUAGUGCUGCAGCUAACGCAUUAAGCACUCCGGCUGGGGGAGUACGGUCGCAAGACUGAAACUCAAAGGAAAUUGACGGGGGCCCGCACAAGCGGUGGAAGCAUGGGGUUUAAUUCGAAGCAACGCGAAGAACCUUACCAGGUCUUGACUCCUCUGACAUCCCUAAGAAAAGGACGUCCCCUUCGGGGGC